rnacentral:rRNA from 1 species
UAGGGAAUCUUCCACAAUGGACGAAAGUCUGAUGGAGCAACGCCGCGUGAGUGAAGAAGGGUUUCGGCUCGUAAAACUCUGUUGUUAAAGAAGAACAUAUCUGAGAGUAACUGUUCAGGUAUUGACGGUAUUUAACCAGAAAGGAACGGCUAAAUACGUGCCAG